rnacentral:lncRNA from 1 species
AUGAAUAACCACCACGCUGCGCUUUGGUCCGCUUCUCUUCCUCCUACAGACGAACGCCCUUACAGAAUCACCCACCGCAACAGGACCAAGCGGCGUGGUAACGGGCAACAGCGGCACAAGGAGGAAUGGACUUGGGAUGAUGUGUUGGACGGCAAGGGUUGCUACACAUGGGAGGAGAUCCUGGCGGGAAAGGAUCGCCUUCCAUGGGAACAGGUGGAGGCAGCGAGGAGAGCAGAGGCAGCCGGAGAGAGGAGCCGGCGAUAUGAGGGAACACGGUUGGCAAGGAAGCCGGGGAGUCAGCCCCAAAAAUUUAUUGGGGGGGGGCUAACAGGGAGUAUGGCUACGCCAGGUAGGAGACCUGAGCCAACUUCCUGUGGUUACCGGGGGGCUAGAGAGACCGGGCAGGCACCGUGUUAUGCUGUGGAGCGCACGGUGUCCCCAGUGCGGGUGCACAGCCCGGUGCGGUACAUUCCAGCUCCGCGUAUCGGCCGGGCUAGAGUGGGCAUCGAGCCAAGUGCCAUGAAGCCGGCUCUACGCAUCUGGUCUCCAGUGCGUCUCCUUGGGCCGGCUUACAUGGCACCAGCCUUGCGCACGGUGUCCCCGGUUCGCCUGCAUAGCCCAGUGCGGGCUAUUCCACCUCGCCGCACUGGCAGGGCGACCGGGACCAUUCAACCGGGUAAGGUUGGGCAGGCUCGGUGCUCAAGAGCUCCAGUGCGCCUGCACGGCCCGGUCUAUCCGUCACCACCUCCACGCACCAGCCCUCCGGUGGCAGCUCCCCGUACCAGGCUGUCUCUCCGGCCCAUCCUUGCAGGGGCUCUCUCCUCUCCAGCGCUGCCGGAGUCUCCCGCCUCUCCGGCGCUACCAGAGCCUUCCUCCCCUCCAGCGCUGCCGGAGUCUCCCGCCUGUUCGGCGCUACGAGAGCUACUCAGUCCGGCGCUUCCAGAGCCUUCCUCCUCUCCAGCGCCGCCAGUGCCGCUCGUCAGCCCAGCGCCGCCAACGCCGCCCGUCUGCCCAGCGCCGCCAGUGCCGCCCGUCUGUCCAGCGCCGCCCGUCUGUCCAGCGCCGCCCGUCUGUCCAGCGCCGCCCGUCUGCCCAGCGCCGCCAGCGCCGCCCGUCUGCCCAGCGCCGCCAGCGCCGCCCGUCUGCCCAGCGCCGCCAGCGCCGCCCGUCUGCCCAGCGCCGCCAGUGCCGCCCGUCUGCCCAGCGCCGCCAGUGCCGCCCGUCUGCCCAGCGCCGCCAGUGCCGCCCGUCUGCCCAGCGCCGCCAGUGCCGCCCGUCUGCCCAGCGCCGCCAGUGCCGCCCGUCUGCCCAGCGCCGCCAGUGCCGCCCGUCUGCCCAGCGCCGCCAGUGCCGCCCGUCUGCCCAGCGCCGCCAGUGCCGCCCGUCUGCCCAGCGCCGCCAGUGCCGCCCGUCUGCCCAGCGCCGCCAGUGCCGCCCGUCUGCCCAGCGCCGCCAGUGCCGCCCGUCUGCCCAGCGCCGCCAGUGCCGCCCGUCUGCCAGGAGCCGCCAGUGCCGCCCGUCUGCCAGGAGCCGCCAGUGCCGCCCGUCAGCCAGGGGCCGCCAGUGCCGCCCGUCAGCCAGGGGCCGCCAGUCAACCAGGGGUCGCCAGUGCCGCCAGUCAGCCAGGGGCCGCCAGUAAGCCAGGGGCCGCCAGUGCCGCCAGUAAGCCAGGGGCCGCCAGUGCCGCCAGUCAGCCAGGGGCCGCCAGUCAGCCAGGGGCCGCCAGUAAGCCAGGGGCCGCCAGUGCCGUCAGUCAGCCAGGGGCCGCCCGAGCAGCUGCCCCUCUGUCCCGAGCAGCUGUCCCUCUGUCCCGAGCAGCUGUCCCUCUGUCCCGAGCAGCUGUCCCUCUGUCCCGAGCAGCUGUCCCUCUGUCCCGAGCAGCUGUCCCUCUGUCCCGAGCAGCCGUCCCUCUGUCCCGAGCAGCCGCCCCUCUGUCCCGAGCAGCCGCCCCUCUGUCCCGAGCAGCCGCCCCUCUGUCCCGAGCAGCUGCCGCCCCUCUGUCCCGAGCAGCUGCCGCCCCUCUGUCCCGAGCAGCUGCCGCCCCUCUGUCCCGAGCAGCUGCCGCCCCUCUGUCCCGAGCUGCUAUCGCCCCUCUGUCCCGAGCUGCUACUGCCCCUCUGUCCCGAGCAGCUGCUUCACCUCUGUCCCGAGCUGCCCCUCUGUCCCGAGCAGCCCCUCUGUCCAGUGGGGUCAUUGAGAGGGGUGGCCAUGGUGAGUAAGCCAGGGAGGCGGACAAUAAGGCGGACUAAGACAAUGGUGAAGUGGGGUCCGCGUCCCGCGCCAGAGCCGCCACCGCGGACAGACGCCCACCCAGACCCUCCCCUAUAG